GACGAACGCUGGCGGCGUGCUUAACACAUGCCAGUCGAACGGAAAGGCCCUGCUUUUGUGGGGUGCUCGAGUGGCGAACGGGUGAGUAACACGUGAGUAACCUGCCCUUGACUUUGGGAUAACUUCAGGAAACUGGGGCUAAUACCGGAUAGGAGCUCCUGCUGCAUGGUGGGGGUUGGAAAGUUUCGGCGGUUGGGGAUGGACUCGCGGCUUAUCAGCUUGUUGGUGGGGUAGUGGCUUACCAAGGCUUUGACGGGUAGCCGGCCUGAGAGGGUGACCGGCCACAUUGGGACUGAGAUACGGCCCAGACUCCUACGGGAGGCAGAAGUGGGGAAUAUUGAACAAUGGGCGGAAGCCUGAUGCAGCAACGCCGCGUGCGGGAUGACGGCCUUCGGGUUGUAAACCGCUUUCGCCUGUGACGAAGCGGGAGUGACGGUAAUGGGUAAAGAAGCACCGGCUAACUACGUG
rnacentral:rRNA from 1 species